UAUUCUUCUUUAUAUAUAUGUGUAUCAUUCGGCUAGUAGCACAAAAAGGGAAGAAAAAAAAAAACACCCUCAAACUUUCAAUAAUAAAUUAGUAACAAUCAUAUAACAACUAAAUAAUAUCGCAAUCUUGCAAGAAAAUCGAUCCUCAUCAGAUAUACACGCCUACUACUCAAUUUUGGGGCUGGGAACAGCUCAAUCAACUCACAACAGCCACAAAUCAGCUUCAUUUGGAGUAUCUAAGGUGUAACCAUCUUGUUCAACUUCGUUUCUACCGUUCAAACAGCUCUCCUUCAGCCUUCAUUCUAUUUGUUGCUGAUCUUCAAAGGUUUAGCCGUUCGUAGGAGUUAACUACCAUCCUGUGCAUACUUCAUUUGAUCUCAGGUCAUCUUCAAAAGGUGCAAGGAACUAAGUUCUCGUUCGUUUACUAUGUCAGUAUAUGUUGAAGUCUCUUCUAGUAAACGUACUUCUAUCUAGCUAUAACUCAGUGUAACCUUGAUGUGCUCAAUUUUUGGUACUUAUGUAUUUAGCGAGUACAUCUCUUUGUACAUUGAAAUCUUGUACUUUAUUAAUGUAAGUUAUGGUGUGUUGUGAUCUA